GCCGCCGUCGGGACGUCGUCGAUGUCGACCCCGCCGACGAUCUCGAAGUACAUGACGACGGCGUCGUCGCCCUCCAGGCCGAACUGCACCCCGUUGGCGCCGAACCCCUU
rnacentral:sRNA from 1 species